GAAAGUCUACUCUGUUUAGCACUGGUGAGAAUACAUAAACUCUCAUCUGCCUGGACACAAUGACUCUUUGAUCUGUGGGAAAUGUGAAAGUGGAGUACUUGUUCCAGAAAACCCACUAAACCCAGAAUCGGAUUGGGUUUGUUCUGUUCAUAGUUUCAAGAUCUCCUCCUUGGCACACAAGCAGCUGAUACAGGGAAUAAAGAACUAUCUGUAUGGAGAGGAAAGAUCUCGAACUAUUGCUGGACUUGAGCAAGAUCUA